ensembl:snRNA U6 U6 spliceosomal RNA
GUGCUCCCUUCAGCAGCACAUAUAUUAAAAUUGGAAGGAUACAGAGAAGAUUAGCAUGGCCCCGGCAAGGAUGACACACUAAUUCGUGAAGCAUUGCAUAUUUUU